AGCGAACGCUGGCGGCAGGCCUAACACAUGCAAGUCGAACGAACUCUUCGGAGUUAGUGGCGGACGGGUGAGUAACACGUGGGAACGUGCCUUUUGGUUCGGAAUAACUCAGGGAAACUUGUGCUAAUACCGAAUGUGCCCUUCGGGGGAAAGAUUUAUCGCCAUUAGAGCGGCCCGCGUCUGAUUAGCUAGUUGGUGAGGUAACGGCUCACCAAGGCGACGAUCAGUAGCUGGUCUGAGAGGAUGACCAGCCACACUGGGACUGAGACACGGCCCAGACUCCUACGGGAGGCAGCAGUGGGGAAUCUUGCGCAAUGGGCGAAAGCCUGACGCAGCCAUGCCGCGUGAAUGAUGAAGGUAUUAGGAUUGUAAAAUUCUUUCACCGGGGAAGAUAAUGACGGUACCCGGAGAAGAAGCCCCGGCUAACUUCGUG
rnacentral:rRNA from 1 species